AUGUGGAGCCCAGAAUUCCGCUGGCGUGACAACGGAAUGUUGCAACAGCAACACACAACCUCUGCCAGAAUCCCCCAAAGCCAGGGUGGAUACCAUCCAGCUCCUUGUGGAAGUGUUCUGAAGACAUUAAUUGUCUGUCAGGACCAAACAGAAAAGUAUCCAGGAUUUCGGCCAGCAACAAUGUCGGCACCAGCUCUCCAAUGUGAAGCCAGGAGCCCCUCCUCAUCACCGGAAUGCACACCCUACCACACCUCCAGGGACAUCAGAUACAUCUUCCUCAAAAGCUGCAGGAACAUCCCUGCAUUCCGCACCCUGGACGGUGCAGGCGCCAGCAAUGUCUACCAAGGACCCACGUCCUGCCACCCCACGUUACAGCACUACCUCAGCACGGAUGAAGACUCCUAUUCCUCUCUUCCUCAGCACCUCCCCACCUUUGUCACCUUCUCCAUGCGCCUGGAGAAGGAAGCCACGGAUUUGAGACGCUCCCCUGGCUCCAAGAAAAGGCUGCCGGUGUUCCGCCAGCUGUGCGGAGAGGCCGUGGAGGAGCUGGAGGAGCUGCCCGGUGCCAAAGCACCCAGGGAGAACACGAAAGGCUGGAGGCUCACACAGGCAGCUGGGUGCUCCACCUGCAGCAAGGCAUGAACUGACUCUGAGAUACUGUCUGGAAAAAUACAACAUUAAUGGUGUCCUUACAUUACCAGGGGGUCAGUGGAGACGUGGUGUGAGCUCGGCUUCACUGACAGCCAAGGGCUGGGAAAACGGGAUGGAAAGGGACAAAAUUGUCUACUUGGGAUAUUCCUUCCACUCUUCUGGGUGCCAUGGGAGACUGCCAGCCAAAUACA
rnacentral:lncRNA from 1 species